ensembl:lncRNA
AUUGGUCUUCCGACCAAUGAAACUGACACCCACCUCGUGCUGCGCUUCUGUACCGCUGUAUUCUCAGUAAGACGGACGGUGGACUUCAGGUCCGUUUAGACGCGUGAACGCACCUUUACAGAGAGAAGAACGAACCGACGCCUCGUUUGGGAGUUUUAUUUCAUUCUUAACUUUGUAAAUGAGUUCUGAUGAACUUCACUGACUGAGGAGUUUACUUGUUGAAGAGCUUCAGGUCACAUGAAUCAAGACGUCCAAGGUAAAGAGAGAAUGACUUCAUGUUGUAAUGAUCAUAUUAACAUUUAUUACGUGACGAUUCCACAAGAUAUUUAAGGGUAAUAAAGCUGUUUUGUUCAUUUCAGAGAAUUAAAGCGUGAAAUGAUCAAAUUGAUUGAAGACCGAUCAGAAUAAAACUGAUCCAUCACGAAUCAGCUGUAUUAUUUAGUAAAGAAUUAUUGUCAACAACAGCUGGAGGUUGUGUGUUAUUUGUUAUAAACGUUGGUACGUAGAUGUUCACACUGCUUCAUUGAUGACAAUAAGAAGCUGAUGUGUUGGAGGAAACAUGAGGUUUGUUAGAAGAAGUUGAGGUUCGGUUGGAAACGCGACGACGGGACAGAAAAAGACCAGCUUCGAUCAGCUGAGACAGUUUGUGCAUCUGUUCUGCUCGUGAUCGACAACAACACGGUGACUUCCGGUGCGUUCACAACAAAACCGAAGCGAACUUCCGACUCGCUUUACUCGCGCAUGCAAGUUUACUCGCGUGAAAUCGGGUUAUUCGCUUCAAGUGCGCCCGGAAGUCGGCGUGGUGGAAGCAUGACGUCAUUAUCGACACAGGUUAGCCGUUUCUCAAUCCCUAAGACGGCGAGAACGGACUCGCGUUCCCGCGAGAAUAGACUCGGGAGACAGACUCGGGAGUCCUGACUCACGGGUACGGGAGAACGGAGAACGGACAUUUCCGCAAUUGGAACAGCAGCUGACUUGAUGACGUCACCACAGACGAGAUGAUCUGCAGCAUCCUAGUGAUCUUCAUCCUGACCUCCUGUGUCUGUGGGUCAUUUGUAGUGAAUGUGACACAGAGCUGGUAUCAUGCAGAGGAGAACCACAACAUCUUACUGGAAUGGAUGUUCCCCACCAGCACGGACCCCUCCCCCAACGCCUUUUAUAUCACUUGUGAGAUGUUAGCUGAUAAGAUACCCGUAGUCGUGUUUCAUCUACAUGAAGGUGUCGAGGCCCCAGAGGAUCAGGAUAAACGCUUUGCAGGACGAGUCCAGUGGGACAAAGACGUCCUCAGAGAAGGACGACUCAGACUUCACAUCUCCAGACUCCAGACUAGUGACUCGGGGCUGUACUGGUGUCAGGUGCUCACAAGUUAUGGGAAGAACUAUAAGGAAUGUCACCUCAAUGUCACUGCAGUGAAGGAUCGACCCGAACCUGAGACAUCGAGUGACACCAGACUGAGAAGAGAUCCUCGGGGAAGGAUCGGCCUCUACUGUGCACUGGGACUGACAGCAGCUCUACUGGUUCCUUUAUUUUAUCUCUGCUUUGCAAACAAGACCAGUGAUCAGCAGAACAAACGAUAACCCAGCAUUGCUCCUGUAGCUGUGACCACAGAGUGAGAAUGGAGUGAAUAUUAGUUACUGACGGCAGGAAGCUGCUCAUCAGUGUGAGAGUGGUUGAAUGAUGUGUGUGUGUGUGUAUAUAUAUAUAUAUAUUUAUAUUUAUAUUUAUAUACCGGUUUAAUUUUUGUGUUCUCUGACUGAGAUUCAAAGGAAAUCCACAGUCUUUACAGACUGAAGUUUUUUUUUGUUCUAGACCUUCAGCUCCUCUAACAGAGACUCUGACUACUGAACAUAUUCUGCAUUAAGCAUCGUGCUGCUCGUCAUCAAAGACUAAUGUUUAUUCUGGUUCCUGAUCAUAAAGAAAAGGAGAAGCCAUAAAGCCUGUAUGAAGAGAAAUAGAUCCUCACGCUGCCUCAAUAUUGCAUUUUGCACAUAAUGCGAUUAAUCGUUGUUAACCACAGAAAAAUAAUAAUAAUUCAACUUCUUCCUUUCCCUAACAUUAAUACAUACCAAUUCCUAUUUGUGCAAAAAAUACACUGUUACAUUACUUUUAUUUAUU